UUAUCAGAGUUGUAACAAGAUUGUUCUAACAAGUCUGAUUCAGUCAUGAUAUAACAAGAAUGUUACAAGUUUGACAUAACAAGGUUGUAACAACAUUGUUAUAUCACGACUGUAACGGGCUUGUUGGAACAACCUUGCAACAAGUACAAUAA